UUCAAGCCGAUUGGAGAGAGGCUGCCCCGAGCAGCCCACCGAAGGGGCAAGUGGCCGCAAGCCAUGCAACUCUCAGGUAAAAGGACAAGGGGAGAGGC
rfam:Chromobacterium aquaticum strain CC-SEYA-1 NODE_123_length_12648_cov_21.346458, whole genome shotgun sequence.